rnacentral:rRNA from 1 species
AUUGAACGCUGGCGGCAUGCCUUACACAUGCAAGUCGAACGGCAGCACGGGAGCAAUCCUGGUGGCGAGUGGCGGACGGGUGAGUAAUGUAUCGGAACGUGCCCAGUCGGGGGGGAUGACGUAGCGAAAGCUACGCUAAUACCGCAUAAGAUCUGUGGAUGAAAGCGGGGGACCGUAAGGCCUCGGCCGAUUGGAGCGGCCGAUACCAGAUUAGGUAGUUGGGGGGGUAAAGGCCUACCAAGCCGAAGAUCUGUAGCUGGUCUGAGAGGACGACCAGCCACACUGGGCCUGAGACACGGCCCAGACUCCUACGGGAGGCAGCAGUGGGGAAUUUUGGACAAUGGGCGCAAGCCUGAUCCAGCAAUGCCGCGUGCAGGAUGAAGGCCUUCGGGUUGUAAACUGCUUUUGUACGGAGCGAAAAGGCUCUCUCUAAUACAGGGGGCUCAUGACGGUACCGUAAGAAUAAGCACCGGCUAACUACGUGCCAGCCGCCGCCGUAA